rnacentral:rRNA from 1 species
UACGUAGGUGGCAAGCGUUGUCCGGAUUUACUGGGCGUAAAGAGCGCGCAGGCGGUCGGAUCAGUCGAAUGUGAAAGCCCCCGGCUCAACUGGGGAGGGUCAUUCGAUACUGUCCGACUCGAAGGCAGGAGAGGGAAGCGGAAUUCCCGGUGUAGUGGUGAAAUGCGUAGAUAUCGGGAGGAACACCAGUGGCGAAGGCGGCUUUCUGGCCUGUUUCUUGACGCUGAGGCGCGAAAGCUAGGGGAGCGAACGGG